ensembl:snRNA U6 U6 spliceosomal RNA
GGGCUCGUUUUGGCAGCACAUAUACUAAAAUUGGAACGAUAUAGAGAAGAUUAGCAUGGCCCCUGCGCAAGGAUGACACACAAAUUUGUGAAGCAUUCCAUAUUUUA